AGAGGAUCCAAAGCAAUUGAAAAAAUUAGAAUUAAAAGAGGAGGAGAUUUGUUUUCGGUCUAAUAAAAAAGGUUUCAUUUUUGAGAUUCUUUCAUCUUUGUUUGUGUUGUGGAUCACCAAAAAAGAAAAAAUUUAUUGAUUCCAUCAGAAGAUAUUAAACGUUUUAGAAAAACGCAUGCACCAUCAAAAUUCACAUUCAUGAGUUUGGAGAUUCAUUCAUCUAUUUUGAUCAAAUUAUUCAUGGCUUUAAAAUCUGAUGCAAAGAUAGCCGUGAUCAUGAUCAAGAAUACAGGGUUCAUGUAAUAGACCUGGGUUGUGAGGAAGGGGUGGUUAGGGAAGUUUAUUAUUAUUGUAAGGGUAAGAUGGGUACUUGUGUUAUGAGUAGCAUUUUUGCUGUUUAGGCCGAGUGGAUGUUGUAAUCCAGGCAAUCAAGUAAUGAAAUGAAAUAUUGUUCUUCUCUCCAAAA